rnacentral:rRNA from 1 species
ACGAACGCUGGCGGCGUGCCUAAUACAUGCCCGUAGAACGCUGAAGGAGGAGCUUGCUUCUCUGGAUGAGUUGCGAACGGGUGAGUAACGCGUAGGUAACCUGCCUGGUAGCGGGGGAUAACUAUUGGAAACGAUAGCUAAUACCGCAUAAUAGCAGUUGUUGCAUGACAACUGUUUGAAAGGUGCAAUUGCACCACUACCAGAUGGACCUGCGUUGUAUUAGCUAGUUGGUGGGGUAACGGCUCACCAAGGCGACGAUACAUAGCCGACCUGAGAGGGUGAUCGGCCACACUGGGACUGCGACACGGCCCAGACUCCUACGGGAGGCAGCAGUAGGGAAUCUUCGGCAAUGGACGGAAGUCUGACCGAGCAACGCCGCGUGAGUGAAGAAGGUUUUCGGAUCGUAAAGCUCUGUUGUAAGAGAAGAACGAGUGUGAGAGUGGAAAGUUCACACUGUGACGGUAUCUUACCAGAAAGGGACGGCUAACUACGUG